CUCCGUCCUCUUCCUCCCUUCCACUUCUCCCCCCUCCUCCCCUCCUCCUUCCCAUCGCCCCGCCACCCCCGGGCAGGCUUGGCCUCCCCGCGGGGCCGCUAAUUAAAUGCAGGGCUGGGGAAGGGAGGACCGCACGCCUUAACCCCUUCCAUGCCGGGCCCUGGAGCGCUGUUACUGCCAGGGAAGGAGGGAGAAUGUCUGCUGCCAAACUCCCCUGCGUCCAGAACUUCGGGCCCCAGGACAAGCCCAUCUGAUGAAUGGGUUGCUGUUGUUUAGUCGCCAAGUCACGUCUGACUCUUGCGACCCCAGGCUCCUCUGUCCAUGGGAUUUCCCAGGCAAGAAUGCUAGAAGUAUAUAGACCUAAGAGAUGGCCUGUUGUUCCUUUGGUGUAAACACAGAGUAAACACUCAACCAACAGUCCAGGAGCUCAUGAAGGAUAAACAAUGUAUCCAGUCAUAUGACAUAUUAUUCAGCCAAAGAGAGGAAUGAAGCACUGAUACACACCGCAACAUGUGUGAACCUUAAAAAUCCUAUGCUGAGUGAAAGAAGCCAGAUGCCAAAGGCCGCGUAGGAUGUGGUUCCGUUUAUGUGAAAUGUCCAGAACAGGAAAACUGCUGAGUAAUGAAGAUCUCCCUGAUCAAUGUUGCUGCACCCUGGCCUCCCUCUCCAGGAAUCGAGACGUCUAAGGGUUGUGGAAAAGGCUUUGCCCUUCCAGAGAGUUCUGGGGAACCUUGUGGAGUCUCUCCAUGGCAACAGGGAGGAAGCAAGGCCACCUCACCACACUUGACAGGGAUGUGGGCACUUGGGGACCUCCCGCAGUCCUGCUGGCCAGAGAGGCAUAACCUGCUGGAGGUGUGUAGCAUGGAGGGACGGGCCCCGGGGGUGCUUAUAGGGAUGGUUUUCCAAGGAACAGAGAAGGGACUGAGGGAGGAGAGAUGCGUGCCUGUAUUCCCCAAGUAUUUUUAGGCACUGAAUGCAGCCCUGAAAUAUUUCCACGGCCACUCCCAAGAGUGAGCUGGGUGACUAUUUUGGUGCCUGGUUCCAGCGGGGGCGGAGUGGGGAUGAGUCAUCCCUGGGUGGCUGGGCCCAGACCAGGAGGGGGGUCUCAGGGCAGGACCCAGGGCCUGUAAGGUGACAGCUUUCGGACCUGGGGCCAGGCAUCUGGUGUCGGCCUCCGGGGCACAGAGGACAGUAGCCUGGCCCCUCCCUGUGGCGUGGCACCACUGCCCGGGUCCCCCCUGGCCAGUCAGUCACGCUGCCCCCCACAGCUUAUGGAGAUAAAGAGGGUCCCAGUUGAGGUUUCAGACAUUCCACAGGUGCUCAGUGAGGCGCUUCUCCUGUGUUUUCAAGUAGGAAUGAGAGACUUCCCCAGAGGUCCAGCGGUUAAGACUCUGCGCUUCCAUUGCAGGGGGCACGAGUUAAUUCCCAGUAUGAAAAAACAAAAAUUUUUUUUUAAAAGCAAGUAUGGAAAAAAAAAUAAAUAAAUAAAAGCAAGUAUGGAGCACUGGCUGUAUGUCUGAGGCCCAGUGGGGUUACACCUCCCAGCGUGUGUGCUGGGGUGGCUGGCUCACGCUCUCUGUGUUUGCACAUGGGCGCUGCCUGGGCCCUGCUCGGCCGUUCCUGGGACCAAGCCCCGGGGUCUGUCCGUCCUCACUUCCCU